UUGGAGGGCAAGUCUGGUGCCAGCAGCCGCGGUAAUUCCAGCUCCAAUAGCGUAUAUUAAAGUUGUUGCAGUUAAAAAGCUCGUAGUUGAAUUUCGGGAUUGACACAUCGGUCGUGCCUUAAGGGGCAUGAACUGGUGUAGUCAAUUUCUCACCUUCUGGAGAACCGCGAUGUCCUUAGUUGGGUGCCGCGAGGAACCAGGACCUUUACUUUGAAAAAAUUAGAGUGUUUAAAGCAGGCAUUUUGCUUGAAUACAUUAGCAUGGAAUAAUAAAAUAGGACGGCAUGAUUCUAUUUUGUUGGUUUCUAGGAUCACCGUAAUGAUUAAUAGGGAUAGUUGGGGGCAUUAGUAUUCAAUUGUCAGAGGUGAAAUUCUUGGAUUUAUUGAAGACUAACUACUGCGAAAGCAUUUGCCAAGGAUGUUUUCAUUAAUCAAGAACGAAAGUUAGGGGAUCGAAGACGAUCAGAUACCGUCGUAGUCUUAACCAUAAACUAUGCCGACUAGGAAUCAGACGAUGUUAAUUUUUUAAUGACUCGUUUGGCACCUUACGGGAAAC
rnacentral:rRNA from 1 species